rnacentral:rRNA from 1 species
AUUGAACGCUGGCGGCAUGCCUUACACAUGCAAGUCGAACGGCAGCACGGGAGCAAUCCUGGUGGCGAGUGGCGAACGGGUGAGUAAUAUAUCGGAACGUGCCCAGUCGUGGGGGAUAACGCAGCGAAAGCUGUGCUAAUACCGCAUACGAUCUACGGAUGAAAGCGGGGGAUCGCAAGACCUCGCGCGAUUGGAGCGGCCGAUAUCAGAUUAGCUAGUUGGUGGGGUAAAGGCCUACCAAGGCGACGAUCUGUAGCUGGUCUGAGAGGACGACCAGCCACACUGGAACUGAGACACGGUCCAGACUCCUACGGGAGGCAGCAGUGGGGAAUUUUGGACAAUGGGCGCAAGCCUGAUCCAGCAAUGCCGCGUGCAGGAUGAAGGCCUUCGGGUUGUAAACUGCUUUUGUACGGAACGAAACGGUGAGCUCUAAUACAGUUUGCUAAUGACGGUACCGUAAGAAUAAGCACCGGCUAACUACGUGCCAGCCGCCGCCGUAA